rnacentral:tRNA from 1 species
GGGCGUGUAACUCAGUGGUUUAGAGUAUACGCCUGAUAAGCGUAAAGUCGAAGGUUCAAGUCCUUCCACGCCCA